CACGUAACUCGGGCUUAGAAUGCGGACGUAACCGCGACCAGCCGCACGAUCGGCAAAAAGAAACAAUGCUCGGAAGGUCGUUGCCAUUUCGAGGGGACGACCGGUGGAAAUCAAUCCGUAUGGACGAUGAAGGUUAAUGGAACCGAUCCGGAGGAUUGCGCAGCAGUGAUCUAGGUCAGGAAGUGGAUGGAGGAAGGAUUUGGGAUUUACGGGGGAUAUGUUGAACGUUCUUUUUGGUGUGAAGGGCGAAGGAGAUUGAUUUUUCUGAGUUUCUACGAUGUCAUCGGUUCAGAUCAGGGCGCUGCGUCGGUGAUAGUGGCCGGUGGCUUAUAUACCUCGGCAAGUAGUCGGCUGCGCUAUGCCGAGGAGAAAAGAGGACGCGGAGAGAGAUGAGGUGGCCCCGCACACAAAUGCCCCGACCAAUACCGAGAACAAUGGAAUAAGCAACAGUUCGAACCAAUAUAUAACUGUUUCAAACAGUUAUUUUCAAAAAUGUUUCGAUCUCUAUAUAGUUUGAACUACCCGUGCCGCUGGGACAACGAUGGAGGAUGGAGUCCAGCUCGUUGGACUAGGAUCUAUCCGGGAGUGUUACGAAGGUCUGUGGAAAUGGGGAAUAUUAGUCGUUGGUUGUUUACGUUGACGUUGAUUGAUGUAAUGAUUUGAGUACGGGUAAUAAUUUAUUUACUUUUCGUCUGCUUCAUUAUUUUCAAUAAUAUUGUCCGAAAAUAGUAGUAGUAAUGUAUAGUUCUACUUAUUUUCUAAUGUAAUUAAGUGUACU